rnacentral:rRNA from 1 species
GACGAACGCUGGCGGCGUGCUUAACACAUGCAAGUCGAACGGAAAGGCCCUGCUUUUGUGGGGUGCUCGAGUGGCGAACGGGUGAGUAACACGUGAGUAACCUGCCCUUGACUUUGGGAUAACUUCAGGAAACUGGGGCUAAUACCGGAUAGGAGCUCCUGCUGCAUGGUGGGGGUUGGAAAGUUUCGGCGGUUGGGGAUGGACUCGCGGCUUAUCAGCUUGUUGGUGGGGUAGUGGCUUACCAAGGCUUUGACGGGUAGCCGGCCUGAGAGGGUGACCGGCCAAAUUGGGACUGAGAUACGGCCCAGACUGCAACGGGAGGCAGCAGUGGGGAAUAGUGCACAAUGGGCGGAAGCCUGAUGCAGAAACGCCGCGUGCGGGAUGACGGCCUUCGGGUUGUAAACCGCUUUCGCCUGUGACGAAGCGUGAGUGACGGUAAUGGGUAAAGAAGCACCGGCUAACUACGUG